AACGAACGCUGGCGGCGUGGAUAAGACAUGCAAGUCGAACGCUGGUUUGAGGGUAGCAAUAUCACCAAACCGGAGUGGCGCAAGGGUGCGUAACACGUGGGCAAUCUACCGCGAAGACCGGAAUAACCUGCUGAAAAGUGGGCUAAUGCCGGAUGUUGUUUUCGGGGGGCAUCCUCUGAAACCCAAAGUUGGGGACCGAAAGGCCUGACACUUCGCGAUGAGCCCGCGGCCUAUCAGCUAGUUGGCGAGGUAACGGCUCACCAAGGCUAAGACGGGUAGCUGGUCUGAGAGGACGACCAGCCACACUGGAACUGAGACACGGUCCAGACACCUACGGGUGGCAGCAGUCGAGAAUUUUUCACAAUGGGGGAAACCCUGAUGGAGCGACGCCGCGUGGGGGAUGAAGGGCUUCGGCUCGUAAACCCCCUGUCAUUUGCGAACAAACCUUAUACUCUAACAAAGUGUGAGCUGAUUGUAGCGAAAGAGGAAGAGACGGCUAACUCUGUGCCAGCAGCCGCGGUAA
rnacentral:rRNA from 1 species